CCUACGGGUGGCAGCAGUGAGGAAUAUUGGUCAAUGGACGAGAGUCUGAACCAGCCAAGUAGCGUGAAGGAUGAAUGCCCUAUGGGUUGUAAACUUCUUUUAUAUGGGAAUAAAAUGUUCCACGUGUGGGAUUUUGUAUGUACCAUAUGAAUAAGGAACGGAUAACUCCGUGCCAGCAGCCGCGGGCAUACGGAGGAUACGAGCGUUCUCCGGUAUUAUUGGGUUUAAAGGGAGCGUAGGUGGUUUGUUAAGGCAGUUGUGAAAGUUUGCGGCUCAACCGUAAAAUUGCAGUUGAAACUGGCAGUCUGGAGUACAGUAGAGGUGGGCGGAAUUCGUGGUGUAGCGGUGAAAUGCUUAGAUAUCACGAAGAACUCCGAUUGCGAAGGCAGCUCACUGGACUGCAACUGACACUGAGGCUCGAAAGUGUGGGUAUCAAACAGGAUUAGAUACCCCAGUAGUC
rnacentral:rRNA from 1 species